rnacentral:rRNA from 1 species
UUUGAGACCGAAGUGAUUGAUACCCUGCUUCCAGGAAAAGCCACUAAGCUUCAGUCUAGAAUUGACCGUACCGCAAACCGACACAGGUGGGCAGGUAGAAGAUACUAAGGCGCUUGAGAGAACUCAGGAGAAGGAACACGGCAAAUUGAUACCGUAACUUCGGGAGAAGUUAUGCCCUGGUAGCUUGUAGGAGAACAUCCGAAGGGCGACGGGGCCGCAGAGAAUCGGUGGCUGCGACUGUUUAUUAAAAACACAGCACUCUGCAAACACGAAAGUGGACGUAUAGGGUGUGACGCCUGCCCGGUGCCGGAAGGUUAAGUGAUGGGGUGCAAGCUCUUGAUCGAAGCCCCGGUAAACGGCGGCCGUAACGAUAACGGUCCUAAGGUAGCGAAAUUCCUUGUCGGGUAAGUUCCGACCUGCACGAAUGGCGUAACGAUGGCCACACUGUCUCCUCCUGAGACUCAGCGAAGUUGAAGUGUUUGUGAAGAUGCAAUCUCCCCGCGGCUAGACGGAAAGACCCCAUGAACCUUUACUGUAGCUUUGCAUUGGACUUUGACGGGACUUGUGUAGGAUAGGUGGGAGGCGCUGAGACCAGGACGCUAGUUCUGGUGGAGCCGUCCUUGAAAUACCACCCUGGUGUCGUUGAGGUUCUAACCUAGGUCCAUCAUCUGGAUCGGGGACCGUGCAUGGUAGGCAGUUUGACUGGGGCGGUCUCCUCCCAAAAGGUAACGGAGGAGUACGAAGGUCUUCUAGGUACGGUCGGACAUCGUACUGAUAGUGCAAUGGCAAAAGAAGGCUUGACUGCGAGACCGACAAGUCGAGCAGGUGCGAAAGCAGGUCAUAGUGAUCCGGUGGUUCUGUAUGGAAGGGCCAUCGCUCAACGGAUAAAAGGUACUCUGGGAUAACAGGCUGAUUCCGCCCAAGAGUUCACAUCGACGGCGGAGUUUGGCACCUCGAUGUCGGCUCAUCACAUCCUGGGGCUGUAGCCGGUCCCAAGGGUAUGGCUGUUCGCCAUUUAAAGUGGUACGUGAGCUGGGUUUAAAACGUCGUGAGACAGUUUGGUCCCUAUCUGCCGUGGGCGCUGGAUAUUUGAGGGGGCCUGCUCCUAGUACGAGAGGACCGGAGUGGACGGAUCUCUGGUGUACCGGUUGUGACGCCAGUCGCAUCGCCGGGUGGCUAAAUCCGGAAGAGAUAACCGCUGAAAGCAUCUAAGCGGGAAACUCGCCUCGAGAUGAGAUAUCCCUGGGAACUUGAUUCCCCUGAAGGGUCGUCGAAGACCACGACGUUGAUAGGUCGGGUGUGGAAGCG